rnacentral:lncRNA from 1 species
AUACAGUGGUGCCCCGCAAGACGAAUGCCUCGCAAGACGGAAAACUCGCUAGACGAAAGGGUUUUGCGUUUUUUGAGCUGCUUCGCAAGACGAAUUUCCCUAUGGGCUUGCUUCGCAAGACGAAAACGUCUUGCAAGUUUGUUUCCUUUUUCGUAAAACCGUUAAUACCCAGGGUGCAUUGCUUGAAGAGGUGCAGUUGCGACUUGACUUCGAGGAGCAACACAUUGCACGCGGUGUGGUAGCCUUUUCUGAGGUUUUUGAGGACUUUGCUGAUUUUUGAAGCUUUUCCAAAACUUCUUUUGCAGCCGUUUGGUAAGUUAAACUUUUAAAACUUUUUGGGGGGGUUUUUGGAUUUUGGGUUGGGGUGUUUGGAAUUCAAGGACUUGGUGUUGGGGAGAGGUUUGCAAGAAUCUGGGAGCUUGUGUGGGUUUUUCCUGCAUUUUUAUGAUUUUUUGUGACCAUUGGGCCACUCUGCUGUUUUUUUUUUAAAAAAAUCUGGGUUUGAAUUUCUGUGUGGUGGGUGGCUGGGGGAACAGUUGAGGAGGGGUUUGCAAGAAUCUGGGAGCUUGUGUGGUUUUUUUCUGCAUUUUUAUGAUUUUCUGUGACCAUUGGGCCAUGUUGUUUUUUUUCAAAAAAAAAUCUGAGUUUGAAUUUCUGUGUGGUGGGUGGCUGGGGGAACAGUUGGGGAGGGGUUGCAAGAAUCUGGGAGCUUGUGUGGGUUUUUCUGCAUUUUUAUGAUUUUCUGUGACCAUUGGGCCAUGUUGUUUUUUUUCAAAAAAAAAAUUCUGAGUUUGAAUUUCUGUGUGGUGGGUGGCUGGGGGAGCAGUUGGGGAGGGGUUUGCAACAGUUGGGGAGGGGUUUGCAAUUUCUGUGUGGUGGGUGGGUGGCUGGGGGAACAGUUGAGGUUUUUGAAGACUUUGGUGAUUUUUAAAGCAUUUCCAAAACUUCUUUUGCAGCCAUUUGAGGAUUUUGAAGACUUUGGUGAUUUGCAGCCAUUUCGUAAGUUAAACUUUUAAAACUUUUUUGGGGUUUUUGGAUUUUGGGUUGGGUGUUUGGAAUUCAAGGACUUGGUUCUGGGUUUGAAUUCCUGUGUGGUGGGUGGCUGGGUGCUUUUGAAUUUUUUGGGUGUGAAUCACUGAUUAUUUCUUUUCCUGAGUUUACGAAGCUAGGAGCUGUGCUGCCAUGGGACCCAAGAAGACUGCUGCUGCAGAGGCCGGCGAGAGGAAGAAGGAGAAGGUGACGCUGGAAAUGAAGAAGGAGAUCAUCCGGAAGCACGACGGUGGAAUGCGUGUGACAGACCUCGCCAGGGAGUACGGCAGGAACCCAUCGACCAUCAGCACCAUCCUGAAGAUGAGGGAGAAGAUCCUUGCGACUGAUGCAGCCAAGGGAGUCACCAGGAUCGUGAAGAACCGCCCAGCUGUUCUGGAGGAGGUCGAGAAGUUGCUGCUCAUCUGGUUAGAAGAGAAGCAGCGUGCAGGGGACACAGUGACUGAGGCCGUGAUUUGUGAGAAGGCCAAGGCCUUGCACGCAGACCUCGUCCGGGAACAGCCAGGAACCUCAGGCGAGCCAGAAGUCUUCAAGGCAAGCAGAGGCUGGUUUGACCGGUUCAAGACGAGAUCUGGAAUCCACAGCGUGGUCAGGCAUGGAGAGGCUGCCAGUUCUGAUGUUCCUGCGGCUGAAGACUUUGCAUUGGAGUUCCUGGAGGCUGUGAAGACGGAGGGCUACGUUCCACAGCAGGUCUUCAACUGCGACGAGACUGGGCUGUUUUGGAAGAGGAUGCCCAAAAGGACUUUCAUCACUCAGGAGGAGGCCAAGUUGCCUGGCCACAAGCCCAUGAAGGACCGUCUGACCCUGCUCUUCUGUGCCAAUGCAAGCGGCGACCUGAAGAUCAAGCCCCUGCUGGUGUACCACUCGGAGAACCCACGGGCCUUCAAGAAACACAAGGUCGACAAGGAGCAGCUGAGUGUCAUGUGGCGAUCCAACAGUAAGGCUUGGGUCACACGUGUGCUGUUUGUGGACUGGGUCAAUCUUGCUUUUGGCCCUGCUGUCAAACAGUACCUGCUGGACAACGACCUGCCGCUGAAGGCUUUGCUUCUGAUGGACAAUGCUCCUGCUCAUCCUAAAGGCCUUGAGGAGGACUUGUUGGAGGAGUUCAGCUUCAUCAACAUCAUGUUCCUGCCGCCUAACACCACGCC